AUGUUAACUCCUGUGUGUCCCUUUUCAUGGAUUCUUUAUAUGAACGGGACGAGGCUCUUCCUGAAGGAUCUGUGUGUGUUGUUCAAAACACAAUCAGAAAGCCGAGGUCUCUCUGCUGAGUCCCAGGCUGGCAUCCUUAACCUCCGGGGCCCUGAAGAAGGAAGGAGCGCUGAGAGGUGCAGUUAA
rnacentral:lncRNA from 1 species